rnacentral:rRNA from 1 species
UCCGGUUGAUCCUGCCAGAGGUUACUGCUAUCGAGGUUCGACUAAUCCAUGCGAGUCGAAUGUAGCAAUACAUGGCGUACUGCUCAGUAACACGUGGACAACCUGCCCUUAGGUCGGGUAUAAACCCGGGAAACUGGGUAUAAUCCCCGAUAGGUCUCGGCUGCUGGAAUGCAUCGAGAUUAAAAGCUCCGGCGCCUAAGGAUGGGUCUGCGGCCUAUCAGGUAGUAGUGGGUGUAGCGUACCUACUAGCCUACGACGGGUACGGGUUGUGAGAGCAAGAGCCCGGAGAUGGAUUCUGAGACACGAAUCCAGGCCCUACGGGGUGCAGCAGGCGCGAAAACUUUACAAUGCUGGCAACAGCGAUAAGGGAACCUCGAGUGCCAGGUUACAAAUCUGGCUGUCGAGAUGCCUAAAAAGCAUUUCAUAGCAAGGGCCGGGCAAGACCGGUGCCAGCCGCCGCGGUAACACCGGCGGCUCGAGUGGUAACCGUUAUUAUUGGGUCUAAAGGGUCUGUAGCCGGCCGGAUAAGUCUCUUGAGAAAUCUGGCAGCUUAACUGUCAGGCUUUCAGGAGAUACUGUCUGGCUCGAGGCCGGGAGAGGUGAGAGGUACUUCAGGGGUAGGGGUGAAAAUCUUGUAAUCCUUGAAGGACCACCAGUGGCGAAGGCGUCUCACCAGAACGGACCUGACGGCAAGGGACGAAAGCUAGGGGCACGAACCGGAUUAGAUACCCGGGUAGUCCUAGCCGUAAACGAUACUCGCUAGGUGUCGGCCACGGUGCGACCGUUGUCGGUGCCGUAGGGAAGCCGUGAAGCGAGCCACCUGGGAAGUACGGCCGCAAGGCUGAAACUUAAAGGAAUUGGCGGGGGAGCACCACAACGGGUGGAGCUUGCGGUUUAAUUGGAUUCAACGCCGGAAAUCUUACCGGGACCGACAGCAAUAUGAAGGCCAGGCUGAAGACUUUGCCGGAUUAGCUGAGAGGUGGUGCAUGGCCGUCGUCAGUUCGUACUGUGAAGCAUCCUGUUAAGUCAGGUAACGAGCGAGACCCA